CCCGCUCGGAGGGGACGGGGAGGCGAUGGCGGCGGGGAGGGCUCGGGGCCGCGACUCCGCUCUGGGCGCGGCGGGGAGGGAGCCGCCUUAGAGCGGGCCGCGCGUACGCGAGGGGUGCCCCCGAGGUGGAGGGCGCGCAGGCGCAGAGCGCGCCGUCCGCCGCAAAGCCCCGGAUGGAGCCCUUAGAGCGGGCCGCGCAGGCGCGAGCGGGCUCCCCGAGCUCGAGGGCGCGUAGGCGCAGUGGGAUGCCCCCCCGCCGAAAAGCCCCGGAUGGAACCUUAGAGCCGGCCGCGCAUGCGCGAUUGGGCUCCCCAAGCUGGAGGGCGCAGUGGGCCCCCCUCCGCCGAAAAGGCCCGCAUGGAGCCCCCUUAGAGCGGGCCGCGCAUGCGCGAGCGGUCCCUCCCCAGCUGGAAGGCGCAGUGGGCGCCCCUGCGCCGAAAAGACCCGGCUGGGGCCGCCUUAGAGCGGGUCGCGCAUGCGCGAGCGGGCUCCGGGAGGUGCAGGACCCCACCCCCCGACGAAAAGCCCCGGCUGGAGCCGCCUCAGAGCGGGCCGCGCAUGCGCGAGCGGUCCUUCCCGAGCUGGAGGGCGCGCAGGCGUAGUGGGCGCCGCAAAGCCCCGGCUGGAGCCGCUUUAGAGCGGGCCGCGCAGGCGCGAGCGGGCUCCCCGAGCUAGAGGGCGCGUAGGCGCAGUGGGUUGCCCCCCCCCCCCCCCCCCCGCCGAAAAGACCCGGAUGGUGCCUUAGAGCGGGCCGCGCAGGCGCGAGCGGGAGCUCCUCCGCCGAAGAGCCCCGGAUGGAGCCGCCUUAGAGCGGGCCGCGCAGGCGCGAGCGGGCUCCCCGAGCUAGAGGGCGCGUAGGCGCAGUGGGAUGCCCCCCCCACGCCGAAAAGACCCGGAUGGAGCUUUAGAGCGGAGCGCGCAGGCGCGAGCGGGCUCCCCUCCGCCGAAAAGCCCCGGAUGGAGCCCCCUUAGAGCGGACCGCGCAGGCGCGAGCGGUGCCUCCCGAGCUAGAGGGCGCAUAGGCGCAGUGGGAUGCCCCCCCCCCACGCCGAAAAGACCCGGAUGGAGCUUUAGAGCGGAGCGCGCAGGCGCGAGCGGGCGCCCCUCCGCCGAAAAGCCCCGGAUGGAGCCCCCUUAGAGCGGACCGCGCAGGCGCGAGCGGUCCCUCCCGAGCUGCAGGGCGCGCAGGCGCGGCGGGCGCCGCGAAGCCCCGGCUGAGAGCGGGGGCGCGCAGGCGCAGUGGGCGCCGCCCGCCGCGAAGCCCCGGAUGGAGCUGCUGCCAUGGCGACCGGCGAGGCCCGCAGGGCUGAGACCUCCAUCCGGGACGGGGACGCCACCCGAAGAUCGCAACCAAUCUCAAGUAUGUGAGGAGGCGUCUGACUACAGUGGCGUGAUUAAUGAAAAAGCCCGACUUGAACGCCAAGUUGUUAGAGCGAUUGCUAUGUGAGGUAGAGUUGGAUGUAAAUGCCUGCAUUCCCAAGGUGAAAUAAAGGAUCGUUUUAAAGAAA